AUGAUUAAUUUUAAAUGGCCGCGGUAUCCUAACCGUGCAAAGGUAGCAUAAUCAUUAGUUUUUUAAUUGAAAGGACAUGUUUUUAAUAAACAGGUAAAAAAAUAUUUUGCCGAAUUCCUUUUAAAAACCUAAAUUUUAAAAUUUAAAUAAAAUUAUACUAAUUUAAUCAUUAUUUCUAUUUAUUUAAAAUUAAUAAAUAUAUUUUAAUAAAAAAUUUAAAAUAAAAGAAAAUUAUAUUUAUAAUAUAAUAAAUUAUAACAUUUUUUUAAUGAUGAAAAAUUCUAAUCCUACAUUUAAUAUAUUUUAAUUUAUUUAUAAAAAUUUAUUUUAAAGCUUAUCCCCUAAAAUAUAACCAAUUACUAAUAUUUAAUUAAAUAUAUAAAAAAAUAUUCAUAAUUAACAAAUUAAAUUUUUUUCUUAAAAAACUAGAUAUAUUUAAAAACGAAUAACGUUUCAUUUCUAACUUAUUAUUUAUAGUAGUUAUUCCACAAUAAUAA